UACGAAGGUGGCAAGCGUUGUUCGGAUUUACUGGGCGUACAGGGAGCGUAGGCGGUUGGAUAAGCCCUCCGUGAAAUCUCCAGGCUUAACCUGGAAAGUGCAGAGGGGACUGUUCAGCUAGAGGAUGGGAGAGGAGCGCGGAAUUCCCGGUGUAGCGGUGAAAUGCGUAGAGAUCGGGAGGAAGGCCGGUGGCGAAGGCGGCGCUCUGGACCGACACUGACGCUGAGGCGCGAAAGCGUGGGGAGCAAACAGG
rnacentral:rRNA from 1 species